GGCCGACUAGCUCAGUUGGUUAGAGCGUCGUGCUAAUAUGCGGUCUUUUCUCAUCCUGUAACGCGAAGGUCUUGGGUUCGAUCCCCACGUUGGCCA